rnacentral:lncRNA from 1 species
GCUUAAAGACCCACUCUGAUGAAAAUCAUGUUUUUCUCGUUGUCUACAUGUUCAUAUGGCAUUUUCCUGAUGCUACACAACAUAUCAUGAGAAAACUAAGCGAAAAAUCGCAUUUCUGAGUAAUCUCUGACAGACCCCAACAGCAGACUCAGAUGCAGUGAGAAUUCCUACGUAGCAAAUCCAAGCACUGCCCCCAGAGUCCCACUAUGUAGGCCUCACUAGGAAAAGUAGAGUGGACGAUCGCGAAACAAGCAUGUGCGUUAACAGAUUGCAAUGCUCAUAAGAAAGCUAAUUAUGAAAUUAGCUUUCAUCAUGUCCCCAAAGACAAUAGUGUCCGAGAGCUGAAUAGCGCCUUUGUUACCUGCUACUUCUACGACACCGGCAAUGUCAUGACUCAGAGGCCAAUUGCUAAUGAGCUACUGAAGCUCUGCAGUAGAAAAGCCCUUAAAAAAUGACACAGGUAACUUGAUGUUGGCUAAAAACUUCAAAAUCACAAUUUAAAGACAUCUGACAUCACUUUAAGUAAUAAAUAAAAAACAAUCGGAGUGGGACUUUAAACAUCCGUUAAGGCUCCAUUAAUGCUAAAUACUAUAACUUGGUUUACAAGCAACAUAUGCUGCCAUCCAGACCAUGAUUUUUCAGUAAAGAUCUCAUCGAUGCCUGAGUCCAAGUGGAGUCACGAGUCUCUAAAACCGACAACUUGGACCCGAGCACGACAGCAUAUUUACUGCUUUAAAGAAGUACGGUAAGAGACAGAGAAUAGUAAAAAAGUAAAUGACACUUCCUUGAAAUUGCCUUUGUUAAAAUCCAGUCCUCAGACAGAGUAUUAUUUAAUUCAUGUCAGUUAUAUAAAGAGGCCCAAGCUCAUAAAAAAGCCUCCUUUAAACAGCCCCUGCACCACAGCAUUAUUCCUGUUCCUAAUGGGUUUUAUACAAGCCAAUGAAUAACACAGUUUGCUGUAAAAGACCCUGAAAUAAAACUGAAAAAUAGGAGUUUAAGAGUUUUGUUAACAAAGGUAUGCGAUUGCUUUGUAAUGUGCUUUUGCUCCCUGGGUUUUAAUGCACUGAGACUGUAUAGGCUAUGUUGUGUCUGUGCAUAAUCUAGGGCAUAUUCAUUAUGAAAACAACACUUUACUCCAGUGGCAAAAUGAUGUUGACCUUUGUGAAAUCGAAUACUAGCAAAGCAUGUCUCAUUGUUCAAAGAUAAUAGCUGGGCAACAUUCCUUGUAAGGCAGAUGAUGUUACUGGCAUGCUGAGUGCCAGCCCCGCUAUUGGGUGGGUGUCGGGCUGCUGAUGACUCAUUCUUCAUCUGCUUUAGAGAGCCCAGGGUGACAGGUUUCUGUUUUAGCUGCUGUUACAAAGUGCUUCCUGUCGUUGGUGAAUUAUACUUUAUAUAGAUAAGUGAUUGUGCAGAAAAUCUCCUUUUGUCUUUGCAACACCUACCUGAGGUUUACUCAGCACGGCGUGUUCGAGAGGAGGAGGAGGAGGAGGAAGGAGGAGAAAGGGAGAAGGGAAAAGAGAAGGAGACUGUGGGCCAGCCACCCAAAAGAAGCCUGGUUUAUUCCUCAGGGAAAUUGCAUCACAUAUUGAUCCAUGUUCCUGCAUCUAAUGGACACAGAGGGUGGAAUUGCUGGUGGCAAUUGGGAAAUAGCUAUGAGAGUAACAAGGAGUCAUUAAGGCAUAAAAGCUAGGUUAGUCACCUGAGGACCUCUCACCUGCCUUCACACAGUCCUCUCAGAGCAGGCUGCCUCCACCGCCACAUAUAGCGAGGAGCAGGAUUGGCAAAGCAGCAGGUUCACCGGCUCAGGCGAGCAUUUGUCUCCAUUACAGCCCUCACACCGGCAAAUAAACAGGGGAGACAGACAAUCAUUCUACAUUACAUCCAUGACUAUAGCACUUUACAUUUUCUAUCAGUGUAACAGACUCCCUGGGCCAUCUCGCAAUCCUCACAUUCAUUUUUUACUGCCUUGUGCACGUUCUGCUCCUCAUGUGCACAGAUGGAGCUUUAACCAGGGAGGGAUUUCCGCUACUGCUGUAACAUUAAUGGUCCUUUCUCCAAGGCGAGACUCAAAACAAGGUCUGGAUCCUAACCCAAAUCUGUCAUGCCAUCAGAGCCGUGUUGCAGCACUUCAAAACAAAACAAAAAAAACUCAAUGCAAAAUGUAGCCUUCAGUACCAGUCUGCACCUUCAUUAUUGUUUCCCCUUCAAGCUUAAAGUGCGGACCACGGAAAGGGCAGCAGGUAGGUUUCAACUCACCGUGGAUUAGUUUCCUUCAACGGAAAAUGUAUUCAAAAGGUUUUGAAAGCAGCAAAAGCAAAAUUGAAGGCUAAACAAGAAUAAAAAAGCGAGAGUGGAGCAGCCUGCAGAGAGGGGAUCUGUGAUUAUCAUUGAAGUAGAAGGAAGUGGGAGGACCAGCUUCACAGUGAUUUUACUCUGUUGGUCUCACAGUCUGAUUUAAUGCAGAACCUUAAGGCUGCACAAAAGAAGAAAUGUUGGUCUCAUAGCAUCUGUUUUUUUUCUUCACACUCUCUAAACAGGCUAAACUAAAUAUUCUAUUACAAUAUAUUUGCUAUGGAUCUUUUCUGCAAAUAAACAUCUCAAACAAUCGCAUCGCAAUUCAAAUACUCUAUUAUUCUUCGAGCCGGCAGAAAAUUUCACACAUCUCAGGCACUUACCUGCAUGUAAAUUAUUGAUCACCUUUCAACUGCUUAAAAAAACGAAUCAGCUCCGUGCAUGUAAAUAAGGUGCCGCACUUAGCUGAGGUGUUUCACCCUGGUGUCAAGACUGGCAGUGAUUUUGAUUUGGUGCCAUUUGGAUAUUAAGUGCAGUGGAUAUUGAGUGCUAUUACAGCCAGGGACAGGCAGCACAUCAAUCUCUGUCAAAGAAGUGGAAAUGUGUCUCCAGACAGACAGCAGCCAAGAAGGAGCUACAGAAGCUAACGCCAGCUGCAUAAAAUAGUGGAAUCCCAGGAGUGAUGGGAAACUAGUUCUGUAUAAUGAACCGUGUAUGAGCUUUGAGCAUCACAUCUCGGACAUGUAUUAUGCACUAUAUACACGCUAAGGUAUAGCGUAUCUUCUGUUAGUCCUUGGACUCCAACAUCAUGCCUGAUGCAUACAAAACUAACCCAUUUAGUGAUACAUCAGCUGUCAUUUUAAGAUACACAUCAAUAGGUGUGAGACAUAUUCCACAGUGUUUUUCAGAGGAAUCCUCUGACUUUAAAAUCAAGCUUUUUUUUUUUUUUCUUCCACCAAAUUCACUGGUAACACUCUAUGAUAGCAAUCAGUAGAAUGUCAUUCAUACGGUUCAUAUGGAGUAUUAGAGCCACAUUAAGAAGAAAAAUUAAGACUUUGAGAUUAAAGUUGUUAAUUUACGAGAAUAAGGUAAUCACUAACAAGAAUAAAGUCAUAAUAAAGGAGUUACUUUCGAGAAUAAAGUUGUAAUAAAAUCAUUACUUAAGAGAAUAAAGUCGUAAUAAAGUAAUUAUUUACAAGAACUAAAUCCUAGUAAAGCAAUUAUUUACGAGAAUAAAGUCAUAAUAAAAUCAUUACUUCUGAAAGUCUGUAUUUUCUAACCUGUUCUUUAAGAUGCCAGUUGUUAAAAUGAAAGUCAUGGAGCAUUUCGUAAAAAUGGACUUCAAUAUACGUUUCUCAAACAAGGAGAUACUUUAUCUUUUGGCACAUCAGCACCACAUUAUCAUAAGAAGCCUGUUCUAUAAUUUUAUUAUGACUCAAUUCUCAUAAGUAACUACUUUAUUACGACGUUAUUCUCCUAAGUAAUGACUUUAUUCUCGUAAGUUGACGAUUUUAAUCUUGAAGUCUUUUUUUUUUUAAUGUGGUCCUAAUACACCGUCAUACAUCCAUAAGUCACUACCUAAUGAUGAGCAAAAACAUCAAAAAACAUGUGUCAAUGAUAAUAUGUUGUUAAAAAUAUGUUAGUUAAUAAUGUAAUAAUAUAUGUUUGUUGAUAAGAUGUUUAGAAUCACAAAUAUAUUGUAAAUGAUUUGUAAACUAUGAAAUAUUUCAGAACAAAUCAUUAGUAAAUGAUUACUUAAUGAUUUGUUGAUCUAUUAUGAAUGACGUGUGAGCCAUACAAAGUGAAAACAAGGUAUCAGUAUUAAUGAAUAUUAAUACAAAUGAUUAAUUUAUUGUGAAAUAUUGAUUAACUUAUCAUUAGUAAAUGUUUAUCUAAUGCUUAUAAAUGGCAUACUAAUGAUUGUUGUUAUAAAGUGUUACCAGUUCACUUCAGUGGGGUGACAUAAUACAAAUUAUUAUCGCUGUUUUACAUAUUGCAGGAAUUAUCAUAAAAUCACAGUUUUUUUCUGGCAUUUUUACCUCGGGACAGCUGAGGAGAGACGAGAAACGCAGGGACUAAAGAGAAUAAAGGAAGACAUACGGUAAAUGGUCGUGCGUGGUUUGGAUUUGAAUAAGCAACAGCUGCACUGUGAAUACGGGGUGCAUAAUCAAACUCCUAGACCAACAGCACUCCAAAGUAACACAUUUGAGCUGUUUUCUAUUGUUGCACAAAACACAACUGAUACAAAGCAUCACUUUUUACCUGUAAGAGGGAAAAGGUUCAGACCGAACUCAUGCGUAAAUACUCAAUUGCAUUCAGCAAUGUGUGGUUUUUAUGCAGCAGUGUAGCUCUUUCUGCUAUCACCACCCCUAUGAUAUUAUUAUUCUUUCCCAAACUACAUUUACAACGAUUUGAGUUUUCACAGAAUUAGAUGGUAUAUGGAUAACUGAGGAAAUCAACUGUCUUGACAUGAAUUGAGUCAAAUUGAAAGAAAGGUUAACUAUUGUAAGUACAUUUACACCAACAGAUGUACAUGUUGCAAUCUCUUCUGUAUUAAUAGAAACUUUACACACCAUUUUAAAUCUUAAAGUUGUAAAGCAUGUUGUGUUUUAAAUAUUUGUGUCAUUUUGAUGCAUCUUGUCAAAAUUAAUGGACUUUAUAUGGACUGUAUGAUAUAGCACACUCAUGGCAGAAGCUGCCGUGUAGAGAACCACCAUAUAUAACAAAUUUCAUUGACAUACCACUGAGAAUAGCCAGCGAGGGCAGGUUGGGAUCAAGUGUCUUACUCAAGGACAUUACAGCAUGUGGAAAGCAGGACCUGAGAUUAAACCCUGGACCUUCUGCUGAGGAGACAACCAACGUUACCCCUGAGCCACAGGCAGACACAUCUUUGUGCUGACUUAUUCAACACCAUUGGUAUAUUCAAACAACAUACACAUCAGAUUUGUUGAAUCCAGAACAUGUGAAAAAAACACUAGUACACCAUGCACUGUGCUUUAACACAUCUGUUCUGCAGGACUGACAGCUUCAGCUUCAGCUUAUGGUAGCACUGAUGGGUGAGGUACUGACAGACCUGCUGCAUGUAACCGUUUCACAAAGACUUGCACCACCCCCCUCUGCUGGUCACUUAUUGACUUUAAUGGAGGAAUCUUCAAUUGAACCAGCUCUCCACAAGGUUUGCUCCCUUCAUACUAUACCACCACAGGUCUCUUUAAAUGACCAGAUGAAUGUUCAUAAGUGAUGCUGCUAAACUGGUUUGCCUUGCUGUACAACCAGCAUGCUUUGUGCACCAAAGCUGUUGCUUGCGUCUUCUGUAACUGUAACAUGAUAAAAUAGUUCUCCCUGCAGUUGAAACUGGCAUAAUGGUCACACAAGUGUAAAAGUCACAUAUCACUUUUUUGAUGAUAAAAAGAGUUUAAAAUACGUCUAAAAUGCCAGAUUUUACAGUAAGUAAUUAUUAUGCAUCAAAAAAAGCAGUGUCAUGCAUUUUAGUGACUGAACCUUGCAAAGUUUAUAAAAUCCUGCUGUGGACAGACACUUCAACGAUUCAGCAUUUUGUUAAAAACACUGACACUUUUGGGUGUUUCAGGAUGUCACUGUAUGUAUGUGUUAAAAAAAAACAAAAAAUCUAUUAAAUAACUAAUAAAAGCUGGUCAGAGGCAGUCUGUCCAUCUGUACCUCACUUUUCGUGCAGGUAGCUCACUUGAUGGCGAAAUCAGAUGGUAACAUAAUUAGCUACAUGGUUGCACAGAAAUUGAACAUUGCUGACUUUACUGAACUAAGUGGAAGUUUCUCAUGCGAGAAGACAGCUAGAUACUCCUAAAAGAAAUCCAUCUUUGCUCCAAUAUAAAUAGAAUUUAAUCCAUUUCUGUCAACGAUGCUGAAUUAUUUUGGAUUAUGGGUUGUAAAUAUCUCUCAUGCUUGCAAAAACAACUGAACAGGCUUUGAUUCGGUGCAAUAAUGUAGUUGCAAUCCCAGAAUCCACCACCCAUCAUUGAUCAACACUGCAGUUUCUGACCAGUUUCUCUCUUUUACCUCUGUACGACUUCCUCUAACACUCACUACAGAUUUACAUUUGAAGAAGUCUUGGCUCGUGGAACCAAAAUCCAGAUAUCUGGCAACUCUGAAAUCCCCAAAUAAAAGCCAUCAGCCCUGUGAGGCUAAAUCUUCAUCACACGACAGCUAAUGAGUUCUGCAGCUGACAGCUCUGCAGCAUAUGUGGAGAAUGCUGUGCAUAUUUGUGGAAGAUCUGCAGAGCUCUGGCUCUCUUCUGGCACUGCUACUUUUGGCUCUGAGCUACCUCUCACGGGAUCCCCCUACUAAAAAGUUACCUGAUGAGCCUUGGUCCUCACAGAGAAUCUAAGGAUGAGGGGGGGGGAGAGGGGUAGGUAAAAACAGAGACAGAGCAAAAGAGAAAGCUCUCAUUAUUUCUCCCUAAUUGCCCACGAGUGACCCUCCUGAUUCCCCCCUCUGCAACCAGGUACGGUGCCUCAUUACAGGCAGCCUCCUCAGUUCUCCCAGGAGGAACCCAUGAAAAGGCCAUGAAAGGCCUCGUCUGACAGGGGCCAGCCAGACUGGACCAAUUAACAGGGUUUUUCUGUGCUCUGACUUGCCACACUGCAGUUUGCAACUCAUCUACGGUGUGAGACUUGCAGCCGUCCUGGGUCAGGUUGGGAUGGUUUGUUCAGAGGGUAGAAAGGGAUAAAGGAUAAGGGCAGCGCCAUCUUGCCUCCAUUAACAUGUUUCUCAUGCUGCCUCUCACUUUUUCUUACUUUCUCGAGGACUUUUAAAAGCUUUUUUGGGCGAGGAUUAAACAAUAAUUGAAGUUGAGGCAUGUUAAUAUUCUAUUCAGGGUGCAAAAAAAGGUGUUAUUAUGAGUUUCGGAUAACCACUCAAGCUGCAACAGGCUAUUAAAGGUUUAAAAUAUAGAUGUUUUCUGGUGACCUGGCACCACUGCUCCAUGAAGGCCAAAAGAAAUCGUCGCUCAGCCUCCCAGUGUCAGGUGACUUAGUGUGUAUCUGAAUAAAUGACCCAGUCAAGGUGAGUUCCCCGUGUCAAACCAGGAGCAUCAAAGACAAACCACGCAACCUUGCCAGAGGGCCUGUUUUCCUUUCACCUGGAGGACUCCAUUUUCACUCUCCAAGGCUCGAUGCAUUCAUGCCUGUCCUGAUCUUUGUAAUGACUGGUCAAAAAAGGGAAAAGAAAGUAAUUCAGACAGCCUCCUGUCUAUUAGUGACAUGAAAGACAAGACUUUCAAAGCCUGUUCUGCUUUCUCUUCAGGUUUAAAAGACACUCCCUUCAAGGUCACAUCCGUUUCCACUGGAGUGAUUCAAAGUAAAAAUCACCUGAACGUAAACAGCGCUGCCUGAUAGAGUGGAGGACAAUGAUGGGGCCACUGACAACGAUACCACUCAGGGAGCGAGUCCAUGACAGUCACAGCCGUGGUGGAUGUGGGCCGAGGAAGAAGAGGAAGGGUUGUGGAGGGUGGGGCUGGAUGGGAGAGGGGUACUGAUUGGCUUGCCGUCUCCUGGGGUGCGUGUUUGCCUGCAGGGAAAGGUCAUGGGAGGGAACAGGAGUAACGAGGUGUGAAGGGAAGGCACUGUCCUCGGCUCCUGGGCCCUAGGAGACAUCCCUGGCAAGGUGUUAAUGCAGAUGCUGCAGCCUCCCCAGGUUCUGUUUAUUACACCUCUUUGAGGAAAGCCAGCCUGGAGUCUCACCAUCAGUCAAUACGGCUAAAAACAUGCUAAUCAGGAGUACAAACUGGCAGCAAGUCUGACUCAUCGGUCCACAGACGGAUAAACACCAAAUGUGGGAAAGCUUGGCUGUGUGUUUUUUAAUUUUGGAGUGUACACUUUAUACUGUGAGUAACAUACUUUACUCAGAGAGAAGGUGCUGCUCUGCUGAAAAUGAUGCAAUCCUGAUGUGUGGUUGUUGUUCUUCCUGCUAUCACACUAAUCCAGUCCUAGAAGAGCCUGUCCAACCUUCAGCCUCUUUAAAUGAUCUGUUAAUGACAGCUCGAGUCAUUCUCUUUGACACACGCUUUUAUUUUGAAGUGACUGCAUUAUGAUUGUGAAAUCAAAUGUGACACGUUGGUAUAUUUAUAUUCAUUAUCAGUCAAUUUGCUUUUAUCUCUCGCCACCAGUUCCGUUAUUGCUCAUGUUUUCACACGCUGCACUUCAAUAUUUCUUCAUGUCAUACAUGUUUUUUUAGCUUGCGGUGCUCUGAGCGUUUCCUUUUGUUGUCCAGAUGUUUUUAAGUACUGUAGAGGGUAAACAAGCCAUUACUGUAAUGACCCAAAUGUCUGUCAGAGGUUUAUUUAUUUAUUUUAUUUUUAAUAGAUUUUCAUCCCUGUUAAUACAUCUGACGAAAUGGAUCAUCUUACAACCUUAACUUCAUCAGAGUUGGAACGAUGAGUCUUUUCCAAGUUAAGAUGGAAAGAGGUUCACUAUUCUGUGAGAGACUACAUGGGAAAAGAGUCCAGGGUUUCCACAAUAAUGUUCCUGAGUGUAAAUUUUUUAAGAGUUUGUGUAUUUCGACAUCUACAGUGCUUAAUUUUAUAAAAAGAUUCUGAAAAUCUGGAGAAAUCUCCGUACAAAACAAAAUACAGGCCCUCAGGCAGCGCUGCAUUAAAAACAGACAAGACUCUGUAGUGGGAGUCUAGCUGAGCGUAGAGUCUGCAAAUAAUUAGUGUCAAUUUGGUUUGAACGGUGUGGCUAAGACUUGCAAAGCUAACACCACCAGCCUCUCUGCAUGUCAGUGUCCACAUGGCUGUGACAUGCCGGUUUUGAUAGACACAGCCUUCAAACAACUUCUUUUCGAGAUCAAAACACUGACAAACCACACGCAAUAUCAUCAGUUGUCAUAGUAAUAUGAUAUAAGCCAUCAACCAGAGCCAUCACAGAAAUGACACAAAUCUGGAAUUUCUCACGUACAGUAAUAAAACAAAGAAUAAUCUGUUUGACCAACUGGCGACUUUCGCGCUGACUAGCAGGUGUAACAAGGUUCGAUUAGUCAAUUUAAUCACACACUGAAAAAAGUGUAACACGCAGUUGUUCAUUCAAACUAAUAACUGUUAUUUAAGACAGGAUAAAAUUAUUGAUUUGAUUGUAAAACUCAUUCUUUUUGCAUUUAGAGACAUAAAGAUUAAUUUAUACUGAACUAAAUAUACGUCCAAAGCACUCAAAACAAAGUUUUUGAUUUCUCUCAGGUUUUUUUUUUCUUCAUGACCUGCAGGUAAUAUUUUUGGUUUGAGUUAAAUGUUACGCAUACGCACUGCACACUGCACAGUCAGAGCACAUGUUAAGUCCCAUAGCUCUCUCUCUCCCUGCAUGCUGUCCAAACUCACCAUUUGACGUCGUGGACGCCACUUGUGUCCUGGGUGGAUUUCGUCCGAAUAUAAACAUCAGUAGCAAAGCAGUUGCCGAUAAUUAAAGGUUGAGUGUUUUGUGUUGUCAAAAUAGCACAGAAUAGCCCAAUUGAAGCUAGCUUAGAUGGGGCGAUAGCUGGAAUGAUUUUAUCUGGCAGUAGCUGGCUAGCUAGUUGGCAGUAGCAGGCUAGCUAGCUAGCAUUUACUGGUGACAUUAUGGUCAUGUUUAUAAGUUUGUUUCGAUAACUAAAAUGUUAAGAAACUAAUUUGGAUCAAGGUAAAGAAUUAAGGUUGAGUCAAGUGCAGUAUUAUUGUUUACUUCAACAUAAAAUAAUCAGGUCAGAGGAAGUUACUCAAUUUAGAUUCUAACAAGUCAAAUAUUUUAGAUGUGAUAUCUGGACAUCUUUUUUUAGUUUGAGCAAGGUUAUCCUUUUUUUAGUGCACAGCUGCUCUUAUAACUAUAAAUGCAAAGUUUCAUGAUGGUUUAACUGGUAAUAACUGGAUAUCAAAACUGGCUCAUGAUACUGGCCACUACCAGCUGGGAGCUAAGUCAUAUAAUAUAAGAUGUUUUUCUGCCCAUUGCCAGUUGAUCUCGUCUUUCUUUGAAUACCUUUAAAAAGCCUCUAAAAAUUUCAGUGUUAAAUACUGACACAAACAAAGCAAACAAGUGUUGAUGCAAUUAGUACAAAGGAAAAUGGCCCUUAUAUAUCAAGUACAACCACAAACCGCGGCUUAAUUUGAGCAUAUGUAAGGAAAAAUGUGUGUUUCAAACAGACAAAGUCAUAACAAAAUGACCUUAACACAACCUGACACAACCCCUGUUUUGUUUCCUGAACAUCCCCUGCAGCCGCAGCAAAACUGCCGUCCCUUCAUGAUCCCAACCUGAGGGGGGGACCACAUGGGACAGCGACCCUCAUUAUGUAUAAAAUAUCAUUAAUUAACUUUAUUGAAUGAGUCACAGUACGGUUUCCACCGCUCGGCUCCCUCAGGGUCCCUCGCCCAAGACCCCACCUUGCCCUGUUUGGAGCCAGCGAGCCAGCAUCCUUCACACCCGCCCUGGCUGGUUCGAGGUGACUUUCCCCCCUUGUGUCAUUGCUUAGAAAGCUGCCAGUAAUUUAUAAUGUUGUGACAGUCAAAUAAACAGGGCUGCCGCUGCUGCUGCUUGCUGGAGUGAAAAAGUCCUGCAUUAAAGGGAAUCAAAACAGCUCCAAAUGGUGCCUUGAAUGGGAAUAAUCUCGGUGUAAGAUCUGUUCUGGGGCUGGCUAAUUUAAAUUUGUUCAGGGUGACAGCUUACUGGGAGAGGGACAUAAUGAAGUCCAUUAUCAUCAGUGGUGCAAAUUCUAAAGAACGAGAACUCUCAUUAUCAGCGCUUUCCUGUAUACGAAGGAAAUAUGUUCAUCCAUUAUGAAAUGUGCUGAGAAUGACAACAUAGAGCAAACAUAAGACAAUGUAAGGCAUGACUCGCAGCAAGGAAAAAUAUGUAACGGUGCUCCUCGGAGACCGGACAAGCCUUUUUUUUUUUUUUUUUUUUUUGCACAAUGCCCUCGCUUGGUUUAUUUAUGGGUGAGGUGCACACAAGAAGGCCGUGUAUUGGGUUUUAACACAGUCAGGGCUGUAAUAGGCAGAUCGUUUUGAUAUCUCACAAUGUUGUAUAAAGUGGUUUUCAACAGCAAGACUGCCUGUGCUUUUAUUUACUGCGCCUUUUCUUCUGCUAAUCUGACAUCUGGUAGACCACGGCAGACCUUGAACAGUGUCUUCCCGGGCAUUAUCUCAUAAAAACAGAGACUCGAUAAUGCUCUUCCAUUAGACAAAUAGCAGAAAUAGCAAUAAGUCAUUUUGGCCAGAAUUAACUGAUAAACAGGAGAAUGAUGGAAGCCUCCAGAUCUGUAACCCGCGAUAACCGCAGCUUUCAGGAAACAUAGAAAGCGAGGACUUCAAGCUGCUCCUAAAAUAUAUUCACUUCAAAGAGUAUGAAAAUGUUUCUGCUGCCAAAAUACUCAUCAAAAGUUAGUUCAGUGCCAGCAUAAUGUGUCGCUGAAUGAAGUGGAGUGCGGGAAAUGGGAAAGGCAGGUGUCAGGGGGGAGUCUCAUACACAUACUAAUGUGUCAUUAAAAGUCAAGUGCACAUGUUCAGAGAUGAGGGCUUGAAUCGAACACAAAGUGCCAUUAAUUAAGAGGCGUUGAUUGCAAAUAUGUAUUUAUUAUAUUAAGGUUAUUACAAACUGAUUGGCGCCUCUACAGACUAAAGGUUGCAUUCGAGCAGAAAAGAUGGUGAUAAUCAGGGAUGGGACAUGAUAACAGUUUAUUCAUACCGACGCUAUCAUUGAUUCUGCUAAUGGAUAUAAAUCUUUUACAAUUCCCAUGGCUUCUCUACGUGGGAAAAAAGUCUGUGAAUGCAGGUUUUAGAUAUUCAUAACCUUAUUCCUCUGAUGAGACUGAAGCCUGGCUUCUGAUUGGUCCUUUAUAGGUCAGCUGAUCACAAAUACAACUUAUGAUUGGUCACCAUACCAAAGAUGGCAGCCUCUAUUCAACAUAGCCAGCUAACGACUGAUUAACUAAAAUUUAUGCAUAAAUCAUCACUGAUUACCC